AAAAUCAUGAACCUGAACCAAACUGUCAUGGGACAGUUUGGAAGACGAUUCCUACACCGCCGGUUUCGAUUCGAGCCUUGGUUUAAAACAGUUUGAAGGACAGUUCAAAAAAUGACGGUUCAAGACGGUUUGAAGGACAGUUUGAGAGCGCUUUAGGGGUGAUUUAAGAGCGAUUUAGAUGGAAAAAUUAGUGAAAAAUUUUAUUAAUUUAGAAUUUAAGUUAUAUUUGUAAAAAU
rnacentral:misc_RNA from 1 species